ACCUGGGAUAGCUCAGUCUGUAGAGCAUGAGACUCUUAAUCUCAGCGUUAUGGGUUUGAGCCCCACGUUGGGCA